ACCAUGAUGGCCGAGUGGUUAAGGCGUUGGACUUAAGUUCAAUUGUACGAAUGUACGCGUGGGUUUUGGACCCCACUCCUGGUA
rnacentral:tRNA from 1 species